UUAAGCCGCGUGCAUCAUCUGGAGCACCUGUGCGCGAGUCCAGUAGCUCCUGGGGUCAGUGUCUGAGGCUAUUCUGCACAGUGGGUGGCCGUAAUGCAACACUUAAGACAAUUAGUAGCUGUCCGAAGCUCAAGGACGUACUAAUCAUGACACCCACGUCAGUGCAUGUUGUUAAAUCGUGACUACAUACCUGCGAUGUGCAGUGACAGUUCAGAGCUUUAGUUUUCAGGCAGAUGGAUGCAGCAGGAAGCCCCUCAGUAAUAUCGCACCCAACCCGGUGAGAGCUGGAAACAAACACACAUUCAAACAAACACACACUCCCAGACCCACGUAUACAUACAGGGGACAGGCACAAGAAAAAGGGGAUGUGGAGUUUCUCCGGCUUAACGCCACAUAAACCAUCAGCAACAGUGAGUGUACAUGCAGUUCUUUUGCACAGGCUCCCACCCUGCAGAAAGUAGGGCAAA